CUUGGGGAUGGUCUUGAUCCCUGUCUCCUGUACAAUGUCAUGAACCUCAAUCCAUAGUUCAUCAGGCAUUCUGUGUAUUAGAUCUAGUCCUUAAAUCUAAUCUCAUUUCCACUGUAUAAUCAUUAGGGAUUUGAUUUAGGUCAUACCUGAAUGGUCUAGUGGUUUUCCCUACUUUCUUCAAUUUAGAGGCAGGUAAAUAAAGGAAUCCUUUUGAAAAUGGGAGGGUGGGUUCUUUCAUAAAAGGGUAGGGUAGGGGAGGGUUUCUUAACCAUUCCUGUUUUCUGGGAGUACUGUGUACAGUUCCACAUCAUCAAAUAAUUUACCUGGGUCUGUAAAUCCACAGAUUAGGUAAAUCACCUUCCUGGAAUGUCAAUUUUACUAUAAUAUGUGUGUAUGGAGUUGUUAUUUUUCAGGAAAGCUUGAUAUGUUAUGGAAUGGAUAAAAAUUGUGUAUAUCUUUAAGGUGAAGCAUGAGAAGUUUAUAAAAUUUCUGCUUCUGUUAGUCCACUUUAUUUUCUCCUCCUCCCCUUUCUUUAACCUUAGUGAAGCAAAUAGGAAUUUUGUUUGCCUGCCUUAUUUCCAUGAAAAUAUUUGAGAAACAUGGGCCUAAAUCCUCCACAUCAGCUAUUUAUAUAGAACCCUAGAUGAAUAGCAACAUUCUAGGUGAAAGAAUUAGCAUCAACAAAGGAAGAAAACUUGGAGAGUGAAAUGUGUAUCUGAGAUCCGAGAAAUUGCUGUUGGCCUAUGUGGAGGUUGUGAAUAGGUGAGGAAAGCAGAAUGAAUAUACAGCUGACAGAUUAGGUUGUAAUGUGGAAUUUGAACUGCACGUGGAGGUCUUUGGAGUUAAUUCAUUUGGCAAAAAGUGUCCAUUAAAAGCUUUUGAGCAAAGAAUGGACCUAUUACAAGCUGGAUAUUUGUAAAAAUUAUUUUCUGUAAUCCCAACUCAUGACUGUCAUACAUAUAUAUAAACAUAACGGUGUGUUAAAGAUUUUUAGUUAAUUCAUAAGGGAACCUGCAAAUGUAAUGGGUUCAAAAGAGAAUUGGUAAAGCUUUCACAUUUAUAGAAUGAGGAUAUUGAGAUGAAUGUGCAAAUGGCAUCCAAAUUGGUUUUUCUGCAGGUGAUGAGGUAAGAUGGAGUAGGCAGGAAGUCAGUUAAAUGCCUACCAGACAGGAAAUAAUUUUCAUGUCUAAUAUUUUCAUUACUGUUAGUUACCUAUAACUUAUAGAGUUGUAAAUAGCUAAAGCAAUGAACAGGGCUAGGCAGUGGGUUGUUUUCCACUAAGGCAUACUUUUUUUUCCUAAACGAUUUGUUAUAAGCUGGAUAUUAGUAAGAUCACCACAGAGUGAAAAUUUGGUUUGACAGGAAAGAAACUAGAUGCAUAAAGGACUGUUGGGAGAUUUUGCAGUGUCCAAAAGAGAGGAGUCUUGAAGGCUGUGACGAGGGUGAUGGUCCUGGAGUGGAACAAAGUGGAAGCAGCACAUUCCUAAGCCACGCUGGGGCCUACCGAAAUUACCAGUUGAUUUACAUGUAGGAAGGAAGAAGACAAACCUAGUGGCCAAAACAAUACUCAUAUUUGGGUCCUGGAUCCACCUAGUUAUCAGGUGACCUCACACAACUGUGAGGGACUUUGAGCUCUUAGCUUGAGUUUGGUCAUCUCUAAAACAACCCUAAAACCUAUCUUCUAGUUUUGUGAAAAAUGAGGUAGUACGUAUUAAGUACUACCACUGCUUUUUCCAGUGGUCAAGUAUGGAUGUUAGAGUUGGACUAUAAAGAAAGCUGAGAGCCAAAGAAUUGAUGCUUUUGAACUGUGGUGUUGGAGAAGACUCUUGAGAGUGCCUUGGACUGCAAGGAGAUCCAACCAGUCCAUCCUAAAGGAGAAGAAAGAUAACUGGACUGGGAUUUCAAGAUCAAAGGAUGGAAGCACCAUGCAUAUCCCUUAAUCAUCUUUAUAAAUACUUACGUCAUCCUCACUCUCCGUUUUUUCAGUUACCAAAGAGUUGCCCCCUCUAAUAUGGUAGGUGAAAGUAGUUUCUCAAUAAAGUUGUAAAGUUCAAUUCCUCAGUUAUUGGUUAGGUUUGUUACUUUCAUGUGUUUGUUGACCAGUUGUGUUACUCCAGGAUAUGGGGCAACUAUGAGCAAAUAUGUUGAAUAUUGAACCUGAAAAUCAGAACUUUCAAGGAACAACAGGUUCUGAGAGUUUUUCUAGUCUCCUUGUAGGCUGAACUUCAGCCUGUGGGCCCUCUGAUACAAGCUGUAUGCAUUGAUGGUUAACAAUAUGUACAUUAGAGGAUUUUUUGCUACACUGAAAUGCAGAAUUAUUAGCUUCAAGGAAAUUAAAAGCGAGGGAACAUUCAGAAGAUCUUUGAUGUAAAAUAUGUUUCUUUACAGAUUUAUUGUAGUUAUUUUCAUUAUAUUCAUUAAAUGAGGCUCAUGACUUCUGGAAUUCAUAUCCAUAUUCUCUGUCCUAGGGGAUCUCACUACUGAUAUAGGCUGUAUUUCUGUCAACCAAAGUGGAUUAGUUGCAGUUUUUACCUUUUAAUUAAACAGCUGCUGCUGCUAAACACAAUUUUGAAUUAUUUAAUAGUCCAUAUUACUUUAGUCAAUGCACACUGCUUGAAUUGUUUUAAUUAUGUGAGGCUAUACAUUUUUUAUGAUAUAGCUUUCCUAAAAAUAAGUUGACAGACAGUAAUAAUUUGUUCUUUUGAGAUGUCAGGAAUAUCUUAGCAUAUUUGAAGAUCAUUAUAACUAAGAUUAAAGCCAAGCUGAUCAAAUAUAAGACCUUCUGUUUUAAAACAUGUGAAAUAUACAGAAUUUUAGAUAAAACUCUCAUUCUGAAUGUUGUUUGUAGUGUCUGUCUUAUAAAUAAACAACAUGUAUAA